UACGUAGGGACCAAGCGUUGUUCGGAUUUACUGGGCGUAAAGGGCGCGUAGGCGGCAAUUCAAGUCAUCUGUGAAAUCUCCGGGCUUAACCCGGAACGGUCAGGUGAUACUGUUUUGCUAGAGUGCGGAAGGGGCAAUCGGAAUUCUCGGUGUAGCGGUGAAAUGCGUAGAUAUCAGGAGGAACACCGAUGGCGAAGGCAGGUCUCUGGGCUGACACUGACGCUCAUGCACGAAAGCGUGGGGAGCAAACAGG
rnacentral:rRNA from 1 species